UACGUAGGGACCAAGCGUUGUUCGGAUUUACUGGGCGUAAAGGGCGCGUAGGCGGCAAUUCAAGUCAUCUGUGAAAUCUCCGGGCUUAACCCGGAACGGUCAGAUGAUACUGCUUUGCUAGAGUGCGGAAGGGGCAAUCGGAAUUCUUGGUGUAGCGGUGAAAUGCGUAGAUAUCAAGAGGAACACCUGAGGUGAAGACGGGUUGCUGGGCCGACACUGACGCUGAUGCACGAAAGCGUGGGGAGCAAACAGG
rnacentral:rRNA from 1 species